UACGAAGGGGGCUAGCGUUGUUCGGAUUUACUGGGCGUAAAGCGCACGUAGGCGGAUCGUUAAGUCGGGGGUGAAAUCCUGGAGCUCAACUCCAGAACUGCCUUCGAUACUGGCGAUCUUGAGUCCGGAAGAGGUGAGUGGAACUCUUAGUGUAGAGGUGGAAUUCGUAGAUAUUAGGAAGAACACCAGUGGCGGAGGCGGCUCACUGGUCCGGUACUGACGCUGAGGUGCGAAAGCGUGGGGAGCAAACAGG
rnacentral:rRNA from 1 species